AGUCAUGACGGUUGUCGGCGCGGGCCCUAGCGUGGCGGCGCUGCAGUCUGGGCAGUGGGUUGGUUCCUCCUCGGUCCUCUGUCGAGUGGCGACAGGGCCUAGCCACCUGGCGGGGGUGACCUUCGGACGUGCGACCCGCUCGGAGAAGGGAGGGAACUGUGGCCCGCAACAAAGCAGUGACAGGCCCGACAUCCCCUGCAGGGCGAUCUUUCCCUCAGCUGCCUGCCGGAGGAAGGGCCUUUCUGUUUCACAGGGCUAAAGAUGGGGCGCGGUUCCUCCACGGGGCGGCUGCCGGGUGAACGGAACGGGGAUGGAGGCGCUGCCAGAAGAGCCCGAGCUCGAGCCCGCCCUGCCCUCGGCCUCCCCGCCGCGCCGCUCCGCAGGAGCCCCGCUCCUCUCCUGCUCGCUCCGGAGAACCCCAGUCCGGCCUGACCUCGGCCCUCGCGGUCAGGCGCUCCAACCAGAGCGACUCCAGCUCGAACAGCGCUGGGUAAACUGAGGCUGAACCCCGCUGGCUGCAUCCCCAGGAGUCGGGCGUUUACGGUCACGGGAACAGGUUAAUAAACUUUUACGCAGCAGACCCGGAACUUAGGUCCCGAUGUCCGGGUAUCUUAAGAACAAGAAGCAUUCUUAGUUGAAGUUUCGCUUUAAAGAUAAUGAUACAGAUGCUUGCGGAGGACAGGCGUUAUGCAAAGAUUGGCAAUCCUUUGACGAGCCCAGGUAGUACAGCACGUCUCCCCCGUGAUGUUUUUUGGCUUUUAUCUUACAUAUAAACAAGCGUACCCAGGUGGACGCCUUCC
rnacentral:lncRNA from 1 species